rnacentral:rRNA from 1 species
GAGACGCUGGCGGCGUGCUUAACACAUGCAAGUCGAACGGUGAUCCCGCUUCGGUGGGGGAUCAGUGGCGAACGGGUGAGUAACACGUGAGCAACCUGCCCCUGACUCUGGGAUAACUCCGGGAAACCGGGGCUAAUACCGGAUAUGACGUGCCUGCGCAUGCGGGUGUGUGGAAAGAUUUUUCGGUUGGGGAUGGGCUCGCGGCCUAUCAGCUUGUUGGUGGGGUGAUGGCCUACCAAGGCGACGACGGGUAGCCGGCCUGAGAGGGCGACCGGCCACACUGGGACUGAGACACGGCCCAGACUCCUACGGGAGGCAGCAGUGGGGAAUAUUGCACAAUGGGCGCAAGCCUGAUGCAGCGACGCCGCGUGAGGGAUGAAGGCCUUCGGGUUGUAAACCUCUUUCAGCGCCGAAGAAGCGAAAGUGACGGUAGGCGCAGAAGAAGCACCGGCUAACUACGUG